GAAGAUCCCCCCUACUGUGAAAAUAAUCUGUUAAAAUAAUAUGCACAACUGAACAUGACCUAGACUUUUUUUAGAUUGUCAGAGUUUCUAAAAGGAAGGGAAAGUGGCCUCUCCUUUCCUGAAAUAAGGGAAUCUUCCAAGGUUAGCUACUCUCUGUGGUAUGAUAAGUCUUCACUUUCUCUGAAACUCAAUUGCAGGAGAAACUUCUUUAUUCUGUAUUUUGACAACCACUGAGGGAAAGGGCUUGAGGCUAAAUCUGAGUCCUGUAUCUUGUGUAUUCUGGAACUAAAAGCUCUCUGGAUUCACUGGAGGGAAUGUAUCAAUGUGUAUCCUGCCUAUGAUAGUUCCUCUGAGAUGUUACUGAAUUACAAGGUCUGAGAAAUCCUGACCACUAGCUAACAGAUCCCUAAGAAGAGCAUCAAGACACAAAGGGAUGUGUUCCUCGCUACUGACUAUCCGAAGGGCUCUGAGGGAGCAGCACCCUGCAGGACUGGCCACUGGCAGGACAUCCCAGGGGCACCUGGCUGAGAAAGGAAUGAAACAUAAAAAUCGGAGUCCCACAGAAGUGCAACAGUCCUUGCCAUCUCUUCCCUAGAG
rnacentral:lncRNA from 1 species